rnacentral:rRNA from 1 species
GGUCGGUACCGAGGGAUCCUCUAGAGAUUGUAGUCAUAUGCUUGUAUCAAAGAUUAACCCAUGCAUGUCUAAGUAUAAGCAAUCUAUACAAAGAAAAUGGAUCCGGCUCAUUAAAUCAGUCAUGGGUUAUUUGAUAGUACCUUGAUUCUCCGAGAACCGUCGUAGGAGCAUUGGUAAUACAUGUAAAAAAUCCGACCCUACCAGAGGGAGGGUUUAUUAGCAAGUAAACCAAUGCGAUUGGGCUCAGGUAUGCUUCUAGAAAAGGAUUAUAAAAGCAUGGCCGUGUGCCGGAGAUGGCCCAUUCAAAUUUCUGCCCUAUCAACUUUCGAAGGUAGACUAGUGGCCUACCAUGGUUUCAACGGGCAACGGGGAAU